AUUUCCAAUAAUCUAUGGCUUCCAUGAAUUAUUUCGAUUCUAAUAGGACAAAUACGAUCAUUAAAAAAUCUGAAGUGAGGGUGGGUAAAGCUGUGUGUAUGGCUGUUCUUUUUUACUCCCUGUUAGAUAAAGCUCAUCAUUUUAAUAGAUCCAUAGCUUGCACGGAUUAUUUCGUGAACGACCGCUGAAAAAAAUAUGUUUCAUUCUCAAAACCAACAAUUGUCAUGUUGAUUUAUAUGUUUUUUCCCGUGAGCUACCGUCAAAUCCAAAGUUGACAUUUCAUAGCCAAUGAGCCGCCAUGUUAACUUGCUGAAAUCAGUACAUAUACGAAUAAUGCAAUAGAAUAGAAAAUCAAACAUAACAACAACAAUAAUCAAUUUUAAUACAAUAGUAAACGACAUGUCAAUAGUUAACGUAACAGAAAACGUUCAACUCUAGAGUUUUCAUUUGUAUGACGUCAUGUUUUGAAAUGACUUAAAUGCGCCAAAAACAUUAAUAGACUUUCGCGGAAUUUUAUUUUAUUUUUAUUUUGUUGGUUUCUCCGAGCUCUUAUGCAUAACUUCUUUUUAUUAUGCAUCCGAAUAAGAAUAAAAGUGAUUUUGUCUUUUCUGAAUUGCAAUUUUUUAAACAAUUAAAUCGACAAAGGGUUUGCAAAUAGGUUUCAAUACAUGUGGAUUUACGUGGGAAGUAUAUUGUAACAGCCAUUAUUAUGUACACAACGGAGUCUGCGCUAAGUAUAGAUAUAUCGAGAAUUUUAUCACAGUGUUGUUUACAAAGCGAAAGAAGCACGUCAUAUUAGAAUAACUUUUAAUUUUUAAUUUACAAAAAUUUUUAAUUUACAAAAAUCUAACCAAACUUGGCCACAAUCAUCAUUGGGGUAUCUUGUUUAAGAAAUGUGUCCAUUGACCCGGGCAACCAACCAAGAUGGGCACCAUAGCUAAAAAUAGAACAUAAGGGUAAAAUGUAGAUUUUGGCUUUUAACUCUGAAACCAAAGCUUUUAUGAGUAAAUCUGACACGGUUAAAAUUGUUUAUCAAGCUAAGAUUUAUCUGUCCUGAAAUAUUCAGGGGAAUCUGACACCUGGUUGUUGGGUUGCCCCUGGGCUGAAUUAGUAAUUUUAAGGAAAUUUUGCCGUUUUUGGUUAUUAUCUUGAAAAGUAUCAUAGAUAGAGAUAGCCUGUAAAAGCAAUAAUGUUCAGCAAAGUAAGAUCUACAAAUCAGUCAGCAUGACUAAAAUGGUCAAGUGACCCCUAAAGAAGUUAUUGACCUUUAUAGUCAAUUUUCAACAAUUUUUGGUAUACGAUUGCUUUAGAGCAAUCUGUAGACUUAUACCGAUGGCUCAGAGCAUUACCCUCACGUCAAUCUUUUUUUUCUAAACAUUAAGGAACAUCUCAGAUACUUACAUGACUUAUGAUUGUCUUGCUUUAAUUCAGUAAGUUGGGUAAAUUAGUAGGGUUUAUUAAACAUAGUAAAAUGAUGUCCAUCUAUAAUAAAGCAGGUGAAAUUUAUAAUCAGCAGUACUAAGAAAUACCUCGGCCUGGUUAAGGCCAAAACAAAUUUUAAAUAACUUUUUUCAAAUUGGCACAUACUGUUUAAAAUGCAUAUUAGGAUCAAGAAAUAUCAACAAAAACAUGAAAAACAUGAAGAUUUUUAUGUGAUGACGUCACAAUUAGGUAUUAUAUAUACUGUUUUCACAAAAACGAUGAAAAAUACAGAGUUUAUACAGUUUGCUAUCUUUAUACAAUGUAUCUGUUGUGAAAACAUAUCAGCAUGAUCAGCCAAGAAACAACAAAAUAAUCAUAAUAAUUUAACAGAUGCUUUAUUACAACUUUUAUGCUAUUAACAAAAUAUCACCAAAGUUGUUUCUUAGGUUGGCACUUCCUUUUCAAUCUAAAAUAUACUUAAAAAUUUGACGAACAACAAAGAAAAUCAAGAAAUUUUACAAAUUAUGCACAUGAUGCAAAUUAAGUCAUGAUUUGUUGCCUUGGUAACUCGUUCAAUGUCCAAAAUUGUUUUCCUUUUUCUGUAUACCUUGUAUCUUAGAUAUUGUACAGUAAUUUAAAAAUAUGUACAUGAUAACUUUUAAAUUAACAGUAAUUUUUGGAAAGGGCCAAGUUUAUUAAAGAUAGAGAAAAUUGGGCCAUGGCCAGCUGAAGGACACCUCUGGGUGCGGGAAUUUUUCGAUACAGUGAAGACCUGUUGGUGAGCUUCUGCUGUUGUUUUUAUCCAAGGGGUUUUUACUCAUCAGAUGCAUGAUUCAGAUCAAUACAGUGGUGUCUGCAUAAAAAAAGUUGAUGGGAGAAUGAUGUUUAUCAAAGGUUGAUGUAAACAAAGAAAAGAAAAUUCAACAGAUGAGGCUUUUUGACAAGAAGUGUUAUUUUGAAAUGAUUUUUAGCCAGCAAAUCAAGGUUAACAGCAUCUAGAGAAAUUUGCACAGCAACAUGGAGGAGAAAAACCAUCAAUCCUUGCAAAUCUUGCUGGACGGAAUUGAGAUUUUUUAGCACAAGCAACAAUUCAUGGAAAAAACUAUGAAAAAAGGCUCUAGGUGUAAUACCACCAUUGAUUUUCCCCUAUUAGUCUUUGUUAAAUUUGCACUUUUCAAAAAAUUGUGCAGAAUUUAUCUUUGUUUCAAAUAAAGAAAUACUUGGCAUGAGUAAAGUUUUAUCCUGUCCAGUUCUAUAGAAAAAG